GGUUGUGGCUCAGUGGCGGAGUGCUUGCCUAGCAUGCCUAAGGCACUGGGUUCAAUCCUCAGCACCA
rnacentral:tRNA from 1 species